rnacentral:tRNA from 1 species
UUAUUAGCUCAGCUGGGAGAGCACCUCCCUUACAAGGAGGGGGUCGGCGGUUCGAUCCCGUCAUCACCCACCA